UACGUAGGGUGCAAGCGUUGUCCGGAAUUAUUGGGCGUAAAGAGCUCGUAGGCGGUUUGUUGCGUCGGCUGUGAAAUCCCGAGGCUCAACCUCGGGUCUGCAGUCGAUACGAGCAAACUAGAGUGUUGCAGGGGAGACUGGAAUUCCUGGUGUAGCGGUGGAAUGCGCAGAUAUCAGGAGGAACACCGAUGGCGAAGGCAGGUCACUGGGCCGCAACUGACGCUGAGGAGCGAAAGCAUGGGGGAGCGAACAGG
rnacentral:rRNA from 1 species